rnacentral:piRNA from 1 species
UCGUUAGAAAGUUCAAGGCCAGACGUACC